rnacentral:rRNA from 1 species
UACGUAGGGGGCUAGCGUUGUCCGGAAUCAUUGGGCGUAAAGCGCGUGUAGGCGGUCCGGUAAGUCCGCUGUGAAAGUCGGGGGCUCAACCCUCGAAUGCCGGUGGAUACUGUCGGGCUAGAGUGCGGAAGAGGCGAGUGGAAUUCCUGGUGUAGCGGUGAAAUGCGCAGAUAUCAGGAGGAACACCGGUGGCGAAGGCGGGUCUCUGGGCCGAUAUCGACGCUGGAGGAGCGAAAGCCGUGGGGAGCGAACAGG